rnacentral:rRNA from 1 species
AUCAGAAGUGCGAAUGCUGACAUGAGUAACGACAAUGGGUGUGAAAAACACCCACGCCGAAAGACCAAGGUUUCCUGCGCAACGUUAAUCGACGCAGGGUUAGUCGGUCCCUAAGGCGAGGCUGAAAAGCGUAGUCGAUGGAAAACAGGUUAAUAUUCCUGUACUUCUGGUUAUUGCGAUGGAGGGACGGAGAAGGCUAGGCCAGCUUGGCGUUGGUUGUCCAAGUUUAAGGUGGUAGGCUGAGAUCUUAGGUAAAUCCGGGAUCUUAAGGCCGAGAGCUGAUGACGAGUUACCCUUUGGGUGACGAAGUGGUUGAUGCCAUGCUUCCAAGAAAAGCUUCUAAGCUUCAGGUAACCAGGAACCGUACCCCAAACCGACACAGGUGGUUGGGUAGAGAAUACCAAGGCGCUUGAGAGAACUCGGG